CCAAAAUAAACCAUAUCACCACGCAUGAAAAAAAAUCCCAUAGAACACCGCUCCCCUCCAUCCCCUCGAACUAUCAUUUUGUCCUAGGUCGAUCCCCUCGAUCGCGGCCUCCGCCGUACGAUCUCGCCGCCGCCGUAUGGGAUCACCUACGACGUACAAUCUCGCCGCCACCGCAAGCCUUUCCUCCCACCCCGCCUCCUCUCAUCUCUUUGCCCCCGAUCUAGAUGGCGCCUCCAAUCUCGGCGGGGCGGCGACCUCGAGCGACGGCAGCACCGCUGGAUCUCCUCCACCCCCACUCAAUCAAUACUGGUACCCGAGGCUCUCCUCCUCGACCGACCGCGAGCAACGCCGCCGCCUCACCGUCUUCUUCUACCAUCACCAACCGCCUGCUCGCGUCCCCGCCAUCCCCUUGUUUGUGGUCUGUGAUGGAGUGAAGUAUCGAUGACCAUCACCUCUCCCCCGCCAUCAUAUUCCCUAGAGGUGGAUACAAAGCUUUGGGAUGACCCACUCGGUGCCGGCUGGAACACCCACGACGCCGGGCUCCUCAGCGUGGCUCCCGCGAGAAUGGGUGCACAUCGGAAUCUGUCCUGGUUUGUGUUGAUUGUACGUAGCUUUUUAAGUUUCUUGAUCAAAUGGUGUUUGAUCGGAUUUUUUUUUUGUCAGCAACGCCAGCGAUUCCAUGGCGAAGUGAUUGUGUUCGACAACAGUAACUUGGGUUGGUUUCCAUCUAUAGAUUGUAGAUGGGAAAUGAUACCUGGUGGAGGCAAUGUUCUGUACAAGUGUUUGAUUAGAACGACACUGCAAAUAAAUUGGUGACAAGAGGCAAAUUCUUGCGGUGCCCGAUGAGGACAUACUCCUACGUCGAUCCAUGUACGAACUGGGAGCAGCAUCGAUCCGAUGAACGCACAAGGAAUAUCCAACAGAUUACCCUUACUACUAUAUUUUUUAUCCAUGAAUGUCAUCUUGGGCCCCUGUACGAUUUGAUUACAUGAUGUUGUGUCCUCAAACUUUACUCUGAGUUAUUUGUUAGAUGCUCGGUGAAAUUCAGAAUUAUUUUUCUUCUGUCUUCCCAGUGAUGGAAGGUAGAUUGAGCUGAUAAAUUUCUGCACCCACCUUGAGGUCCAUAACGUUCUCCUAAUUGUAUGCAGCACAAUCGUAAAGAUGUAUUUGUUUGAGGGAGAGGACUGUCUCUUAUCAGAAGCAACAUUAUGUGAUCAUCAUGUGUUGGAUCUUGGUCCCCUGUAUGAGUUGAAUACAUGAUUGAUGGAAGGUAGAUUGAGCUGAAAAUUUUCUGCACCCACCUUGAGGUCCAUAAGGUUCUCCUAAUUAUAUGCAGCCCAAUCGUAAAGAUAUAUUUGUUUGCGGAGAAGACUAUCAGUUAUCAGAAGCAACAUUAUGUGAUCAUCAUGUGUGAGAGAGACGGCAAGAGUAUGUGAUAUUUAUUUCUGUGUGGACUACUAAUAUGUAUUGACUGUUCAUGUUGCUACAGUAGGUUCAUGAUUGAUUAUGGCAACAAGGAAAUCACUCGAGAAGGAUUUUAUUAGUAUGCACACUUUGAGACUUGAGAGGCUGUUAUUGAUUAAGGAAUCUAUGUCUGCUAGAGAGGCCGAUGCCAAAUCAGCAUCGGAAAAGGGCAAGAUAAGGGGACUGAGGGAGCAUAGGAGAGCAAGAUGGGGUGGUCUGCAUCACCUUCAGUUGGCACAUGCGCAUGCACCUGCAGUAAUCAUUAUCUUUCCCAUGGUUAAGAUAUGAAAUUGACCUGAUAGCUCUUAUGUUAGCACUUUCUAAAGUUCACAUUUAUUACAUGCCAUUUGUGUGCUCAAGAAAUAUCUGGACAAUCUUUUGCUAGCGGUAAGUUUCAUGUUUGUGACUUUUUGCUAUGUCAAACGAAGAACAGAAGCCCGAAGCCCGUUACUGUGUGAAUAAUGGCCUCCUUCUGAAGAUAUUUAAUUCACCAUGCUUAUUCAGAGCGAGAUGAGAUAUUUUGAAGCGACAUCAAUUCUAGAGAAAGAUGGACGAUGUGCAGGGAAAUGAGGGGUGGAGGAAAAGAUGUCACUUGUCUUCUCAAAAUUAGAGGGUUAAAGAGAUAGGACAACUGCCAAGGAGGAAAGUGCAGAUGAAGAGAGCAGAUAUGAAGGGGAAGGAGGGGCGGAGAAAAAUAUGUCACUUCUAUUCUCAAGUAGAAGAUGGUUUGAAGAGACAUGACAACCACCGAGGAGGAAAUAAGCAUGAGCGAGAAUUAACUCACAUUUCUGAAAUAGAACUAAUGUUUGACAAUGUCUUCUUUAUUCCUGCAAUGCAAGGGUAGCGGCGGCUGGGCUUGAUUAAUUGCACUCUUUGAAGGAUUGACGAUUGCUGCAGCGUCUGAUCAUGUGAGGGUAAUAAAUAUUUUUCUUGCUAAAAAACCGUUGUCACUUGGAAUAAUAUACGACGGGGGCCUCAUUGGAGUUUAUCUUAUACCAAAAACCAUGGACUGGUCAAUAUGAACUCAUACGUGAUGUCAUGGGCA